rnacentral:rRNA from 2 species
UUUUGGGCGAUUUACUGGAACACAAUUGACGCUGAGAUGCGAAAGCGUGGGGAGCAAACAGGAUUAGAUACCCUGGUAGUCCACGCCCUAAACGAUGUACACUAGUUGUUGUGAGACUAGAUCUUGCAGUAAUGCAGUUAACACAUUAAGUGUACCGCCUGGGGAGUACGGUCGCAAGAUUAAAACUCAAAGGAAUAGACGGGGACCCGCACAAGCGGUGGAGCAUGUGGUUUAAUUCGACGAUACACGAAGAACCUUACCUGGACUUGACAUAGUAAGAACUUUCUAGAGAUAGAUUGGUGUCUGCUUGCAGAAACUUAUAUACAGGUGCUGCACGGCUGUCGUCAGCUCGUGUCGUGAGAUGUUGGGUUAAGUCCCGCAACGAGCGCAACCCUCGUGUUUAGUUGCUAACAGUUCGGCUGAGAACUCUAAACAGACUGCCUACGCAAGUAGGAGGAAGGUGAGGACGACGUCAAGUCAUCAUGGCCCUUACGUCCAGGGCUACACACGUGCUACAAUGGGAUAUACAAAGAGCGGCAAUACGGUGACGUGGAGCAAAUCUUAUAAAAUAUCUCCCAGUUCGGAUUGUAGUCUGCAACUCGACUACAUGAAGUUGGAAUCGCUAGUAAUCGUAGAUCAGC